rnacentral:rRNA from 1 species
AGAGUUUGAUCCUGGCUCAGAGCGAACGCUGGCGGCAGGCCUAACACAUGCAAGUCGAGCGCGUGUAGCAAUACACGAGCGGCAGACGGGAGAGUAACACGUGGGAACGCGCCCUUCGGUCCGGAAUAACCCAGGGAAACUUGGGCUAAUACCGGAUACCCCCUUACGGGGAAAGAUUUAUUGCCGAAGGAACGGCCCGCGUCUGAUUAGCUAGUUGGUGAGGUAAUGGCUCACCAAGGCGACGAUCAGUAGCUGGUCUGAGAGGAUGACCAGCCUCACUGGGACUGAGACACGGCCCAGACUCCUACGGGAGGCAGCAGUGGGGAAUAUUGGACAAUGGGCGCAAGCCUGAUCCAGCCAUGCCGCGUGGAUGAUGAAGGCCCUAGGGUUGUAAAGUCCUUUUAACGGGGAAGAUAAUGACGGUACCCGUAGAAUAAGCCCCGGCUAACUUCGUGCCAGCAGCCGCGGUAAUUC